rnacentral:rRNA from 1 species
GACGAACGCUGGCGGCGUGCUUAACACAUGCAAGUCGAACGGAAAGGCCCUGCUUGUGUGGGGUGCUCGAGUGGCGAACGGGUGAGAAACACGUGAGUAACCUGCCCGUGACUUUGGGAUAACUUCGGGAAACUGGGGCUAAUAGCGGAUAGGAGCUCCUGCUGCAGGGGGGGGGGGGGAAAGUUUCGGCGUUUGGGGAUGGCCUCGCGGCUUAUCAGCUUGUUGGUGGGGUAGUGGCUUACAAAGGCUUUGGCGGUUAGCCGGCCUGAGAGGGUGACCGGCCACAUUGGGCCUGAGAUCCGGCCCAGACUCCUACGGGAGGCAGCAGUGGGAAAUAUUGCACAAUGGGCGGAACCCUGAUGCAGCAACGCCGCUUGCGGGAUGACGGCCUUCGGUUUGUAAACCGUUUCCGCCUGUGACGAAGCGUGAGUGACGGUAAUGGGUAAAGAAGCACCGGCUAACUACGUG